GUCGAACGAAGCCCCCUCCCUGGGUAACCAGGUAGGGACGCUUAGUGGCGAACGGGUGAGUAACACGUGAGAAACCUGCCCCGGAGAUCGGGAUAGCCCAGGGAAACCUGGAUUAAUACCGAAUACCCUCGAUUGGUCGCAUGUCCGAUCGAGGAAAUGGUCCGCCGCUCCGGGAUGGUCUCGCGUCCUAUCAGCUUGUUGGUGAGGUAACGGCUCACCAAGGCGACGACGGGUAGCUGGUCUGAGAGGACGAUCAGCCACACUGGGACUGAGACACGGCCCAGACUCCUACGGGAGGCAGCAGCAGGGAAUUUUGCACAAUGGGCGCAAGCCUGAUGCAGCGACGCCGCGUGGGGGAUGAAUGCCUUCGGGUUGUAAACCCCUUUCAGGAGGGACGAAGCGAAAGUGACGGUACCUCCAGAAGAAGCCCCGGCCAACUACGUGCCAGCAGCCGCGGUAAUACGUAGGGGGCGAGCGUUGUCCGGAUUUAUUGGGCGUAAAGAGCUCGUAGGCGGCUCAGCAAGUCGGCCGUGAAAACCUGAGGCUCAACCUCAGGACGCCGGUCGAAACUGCUGUGGCUAGGGUUCGGUAGAGGAGAGUGGAAUUCCCGGUGUAGCGGUGAAAUGCGCAGAUAUCGGGAGGAACACCAGUAGCGAAGGCGGCUCUCUGGGCCGACACCGACGCUGAGGAGCGAAAGCUAGGGGAGCAAACAGGAUUAGAUACCCUGGUAGUCCACGCCCUAAACGAUGGGUACUCGGUGCUGCGGGUAUCGACCCCUGCGGUGCCUUAGCUAACGCGUUA
rnacentral:rRNA from 1 species